GACGAACGCUGGCGGCGUGGAUUAGGCAUGCAAGUCGAACGGUAUCAUCCUUUCGGGGGUGAGAGAGUGGCGAACUGGUGAGUAACACGUAGGUUAUCUACCCUCAAGACGGGGACAACCCAGGGAAACUUGGGCUAAUACCGGAUGUGAGCAACUUUUAGUUGUUUGAAAGGUGGCGUAAGCUGUCGCUUGGGGAUGAGCCUGCGUCCUAUUAGUUAGUUGGUGAGGUAACGGCUCACCUAGGCAAUGAUAGGUAGGCGGCCUUAACGGGUGGUCGCCCACACUGGGAUUGAGAUACGGCCCAGACUCCUACGGGAGGCAGCAGUCGAGAAUAGUCUACAAUGGUCGGAAGACUGAUAGUGCGACGCCGCGUGAACGAUGAAUCCCUUCGGGGCGUAAAGUUCUUUUAUAUGUGAGCAGUGCUUCUUAUAUUAACAGUAUGGGGAGAGAGAUAUUAGCAUAUGAAUAAGCAACGGCUAACUCCGUG
rnacentral:rRNA from 1 species